rnacentral:rRNA from 1 species
GCGAUCCGAGCCAACCNCAAAAAAUACCAUCCCAGUUCGGAUUGCAGUCUGCAACUCGACUGCAUGAAGCUGGAAUCGCUAGUAAUCGCGGAUCAGAAUGCCGCGGUGAAUACGUUCCCGGGUCUUGUACACACCGCCCGUCACACCAUGGGAGUCGGAUAUGCCCGAAGUCAGUGACCCAACCGCAAGGAGGGAGCUGCCGAAGGUGGAGCCGAUGACUGGGGUGAAGUCGUAACAAGGUAGC